rnacentral:rRNA from 1 species
AGAACCUUACCAAGGCUUGACAUAUACCGGAAAAGUUCAGAAAUGUUCUCCCCGCAAGGUCGGUAUACAGGUGGUGCAUGGUUGUCGUCAGCUCGUGUCGUGAGAUGUUGGGUUAAGUCCCGCAACGAGCGCAACCCUCGUUCUAUGUUGCCAGCACGUAAUGGUGGGAACUCAUAAGAGACUGCCGGGGUCAACUCGGAGGAAGAAGGAAGA